AGCAGCCGCGGUAAUUCCAGCUCCAAUAGCGUAUAUUAAAGUUGUUGCAGUUAAAAAGCUCGUAGUUGAAUUUCGGGAUCAGUAUGUUGGUCGUGCUUCGGUACGUACUGUCAUUACUGGUUUCUACCUUCUGAAGAACCUUGAUGUCAUUAAUUUGGUGUCUUGGGGAAUCAGGACUGUUACUUUGAAAAAUUAGAGUGCUUAAAGCAAGCAUACGCUUGAAUACAUUAGCAUGGAAUAAUGAAAUAGGACGUUUGAUUCUAUUUUGUUGGUUUCUAGGAUCGACGUAAUGAUUAAUAGGGAUAGUUGGGGGCAUUAGUAUUCAAUUGUCAGAGGUGAAAUUCUUGGAUUUAUUGAAGACCAACUACUGCGAAAGCAUUUGCCAAGGAUGUUUUCAUUAAUCAAGAACGAAAGUUAGGGGAUCGAAGACGAUCAGAUACCGUCGUAGUCUUAACCAUAAACUAUGCCGACUAGG
rnacentral:rRNA from 1 species